rnacentral:rRNA from 1 species
GACGAACGCUGGCGGCGUGCUUAACACAUGCAAGUCGAACGGAAAGGCCCUGCUUUUGUGGGGUGCUCGAGUGGCGAACGGGUGAGUAACACGUGAGUAACCUGCCCUUGACUUUGGGAUAACUUCAGGAAACUGGGGCUAAUACCGGAUAGGAGCUCCUGCUGCAUGGUGGGGGUUGGAAAGUUUCGGCGGGUGGGGAUGGACUCGCGGCUUAUCAGCUUGUUGGUGGGGUAGUGGCUUACCCAGGCUUUGACGGGUAGCCGGCCUGAGAGGGUGACCGGCCACAUUGGGACUGAGAUACGGCCCAGACUCCUACGGGAGGCAGCAGUGGGGAAUAUUGCACAAUGGGCGGAAGCCUGAUGCAGCGACGCCGCGUGCGGGAUGACGGCCUUCGGGUUGUAAACCGCUUUCGCCUGUGACGAAGCGUGAGUGACGGUAAUGGGUAAAGAAGCACCGGCUAACUACGUG